rnacentral:tRNA from 1 species
GGUGGGGUGGCUGAGUGGCCGAAGGCACCGGUUUUGAAAACCGACGAGGAUUCACGUCCUCCGGGGGUUCGAAUCCCUCCCCCACCGCCA